AUCACUACUCAGCCUUUUGGUUAAGAUCAAGUGUAGUAUCUGUUCUUAUCAGUUUAAUAUCUGAUAUGUCCUCUAUCCAAGAACAAUACAUUAAGUGGAUUUUUAGAGCAAGAAGAUGGAAUAGGAGCUUGCUCCGCCCACUCCACGCAUCGACCUAAUAUUGCAGUACCUCUAGGAAUGGUGCACCAAAA
rnacentral:snRNA from 1 species